UUCUUAGUCUCACCAAGGAGUUAGCAGCAGCACAGCUGUGCCAGGAUACCCAGGACUGCUUUUCUGCGCCUCGUCCUUUCAGCCCCAUUGGAUGCUCAGCAGGAGCCGCUCAGUUCACACACGCAGUGCGUUCUGCCUUCCAAGAGCUUUCCAUCAGGCGAGAGGCUCUCUUCUUUUUGCCUGUUUCAAAUGUACCGUUCCACGUGUCCUACAAGAAGUCUUCACGCACCUCUCCAGCCUUCAUCCAAAAGACACUGCCAAAUGCUUUACAAGUAGUACAGAGAAAGAGAAAUUGUUUCUGGCACCUAUUGCAGUAGUCAGCACUGAGCAUCCUGCUUACCCAGCUCACAAAGCACAGAGCCUUAUUUUGUUAGGAUGUACAAAUGCUUCUGCUAUCAAACAAGCAAAAGGACAGCCAGCCCACCUAACCUGCUACCAGCUAGCCACCAAGGUGAGCUUACUGAGCCACUGAGCUUGUAGUUGUAUCAAUGGACACCAUUUGGUCAUUUAUAUUUCUUGCGAAAGAUGGUGGUCCCAUGGUGUGAGCUUUGAUAGCGUGGUAUCAGAAUGUUGUCCCAGUUAUGCCUACUGAUCAGUAAUUCAGAAGGCUCUGCACUAGUGAAGUGCUGGGAGGAGAGGUGCCUUCUGUUUUCUGCUCCAUACUUCCACUCUCUUCCCUCUCUUUUUUUUUCCAAGGUUGGCUUGGUAUUAUGUCAUUUCAGAUGGACAAGAUUAAGUGAAAUCCUGCUUUGGGUUUCUGAUGCUCUCCCCUCUGUUUUGUGUUAACACUGAGAAUUUGUUUCUGUGUUGUUUGUGGCUGAGGCUUUUUUCCCCACCCCCUGCCUGAGAUGGCUCAAGAAAUGCUGAACAGAGUGCUUAAUGAUUUCCAGUGUUUUCUCUUGACAUUUUAGUUUAGGAGAAUGAGC
rnacentral:lncRNA from 1 species